UACGUAGGGGGGCAAGCGUUGUCCGGAUUUAUUGGGCGUAAAGAGCGUGUAGGCGGCCAUGUAGGUCCGUUGUGAAAACUCGAGCUCAACCUCGAGACGCCGAUGGAAACCCCUAGCGAGAGUCCGGAAGAGGAGAGUGGAAUUCCUGGUGUAGCGGUGAAAUGCGCAGAUAUCAGGAAGAACACCCGUGGCUAAGGCGGCUCUCUAGUACGGUACUGACGCUGAGACGCGAAAGCGUGGGGAGCGAACAGG
rnacentral:rRNA from 1 species